GGAAUUUUGGACAAUGGGCGCAAGCCUGAUCCAGCCAUGCCGCGUGAGUGAUGAAGGCCCUAGGGUUGUAACGCUCUUUCACCGGUGAAGAUAAUGACGGUAACCGGAGAAGAAGCCCAGGCUAACUUCGUGCCAGCAGCCGCGGUAAUACGAAGGGGGCUAGCGUGGUUCGGAAUUAAUGGGCGUAAAGCGCACGUAGGCGGAUCGUUAAGUGAGGGGGGAAAGCCCAGGGCUCAACCCUGGAACUGCCUUUCAUACUGGCGAUCUUGAGUUCGAGAGAGGUGAGUGGAAUUCCGAGUGUAGAGGUGAAAUUCGUAGAUAUUCGGAGGAACACCAGUGGCGAAGGCGGCUCACUGGCUCGAUACUGACGCUGAGGUGCGAAAGCGUGGGGAGCAAAC
rnacentral:rRNA from 1 species